rnacentral:sRNA from 1 species
GCCAGGUGUGGUGGGCACGCCUGUAAUCCCAGCAGCUCGGGAGGCCGAGGCAGGAGGAUUGCAAGUUCAAGGCCAGCCUGCACAAGUUAGCCAGGCCCUGUCUCAA